rnacentral:rRNA from 1 species
UGUAGAGAGUGUUUCGGGUGAGAUCGCGGUCUAAGUCCAUUGGAACAUGGUAUCAUAGAGGGUGAGAAUCCCGUAUGUGACUGUGGAUCGAGCCCAUGUGAAGCCUCUUCGACGAGUCGAGUUGUUUGGGAAUGCAGCUCAAAAUGGGUGGUAAAUUUCAUCUAAAGCUAAAUACUGGCUGGAGACCGAUAGCGCACAAGUAGAGUGAUCGAAAGAUGAAAAGCACUUUGGAAAGAGAGUCAAACAGUACGUGAAAUUGUUGAAAGGGAAGCGCUUGCAACCAGACCUGUCCGUAGGUGAUCAGCCGCUGUUCUCAGCGGUGUACUCGCUCUGCGAUCAGGCCAGCAUCGGUUCGGGCGGUCGGAUAAAGGCCUUGGGAAUGUAGCUCCUCCCGGGGAGUCUUAUAGCCCUCGGUGCAAUGCGGCCAGCCGGGACCGAGGACCGCGCUUCGGCUAGGAUGCUGGCGUAAUGGUUGUAAGCGACCCGUCUUGAAACACGGACCAAGGAGUCUAACAUCUAUGCGAGUGUUUGGGUGUCAAACCCAUGCGCGGAAUGAAAGUGAACGGAGGUGAGAACCCUUAAGGGCGCAUCAUCGACCGAUCCAGAUGUCUUCGGAUGGAUUUGAGUAUGAGCAUAGCUGUUGGGACCCGAAAGAUGGUGAACUAUGCCUGAAUAGGGUGAAGCCAGAGGAAACUCUGGUGGAGGCUCGCAGCGGUUCUGACGUGCAAAUCGAUCGUCAAAUUUGGGUAUAGGGGCGAAAGACUAAUCG